UACCAACGCCGCCCCGGAGCCAACGGGACGAGUACACACCCCUUGGGUCCUAGACCUCGCCGCCGAGGUAACUGUUCCGUACCGGCCGAUUAUCGGUACGCCCACCACCUAGGCCACAGGGCCGGCGCGCCCGCCGGCCUAGGCCACCAGCAACCGCAGGCUGCCGCCGAAGACGCCGCCAGCCACCUCCAGCAGCCGACCGCAGCACCACCACAGUUACCGCCUCCUGGACGGUUCCGAGCGCUCUCCAAGGUGGCAUAGUUAGGUCUCUAUUCUCUCCUCACCUACGUCCUCCGAGGAGUCGCUAAUCUCGAAGAGCCGGCAGGCUAGCAAAAGAACUAACGCGAGACCGGCAACCUAGAGCCCGAGCCAGCAGCACCCGGCAGCCUAUAAAUGGGCCAGCAGAGGUUGGUAGACGAGGAGUGCCGGCGUUCGCGAGCGCGCGCUGGGUAGGGGCGACGAUCCCGAAGCCGACGGGGGUUGAGACCACUCCACUCGAGAGGAGAAGGGAGAGGAGAGGGGAAGAAAGAAUAGAAGGGCGGGGUGAGUUAAAGAAGCUAAGCCACGUCGUCGGUGGGAGGAGGUACCUGCUCCUACUGGUGGUGCCGGCGUGUACCAGCUCGAGUGGCAGCAAAGGAGGCCACACCACUACCCGGUUGCUCGAGGCGGAGGUGCCGAGGAUCGAGCCGAAGACAAGAGGUACCUGCUUAGAGUUGACCUUUGUUGUUCGGUAGAGUUCCCUCCCCUAACAGUUCAGUGGGGUGAAGGUUAGGUACCUACGAUAGGUGUUCCUGGUUCUACUACUACUGGUCCUACCUUCCUCGGGUGCGGGCUGGGGCUGCUGCCGCCAAAGUAAACACACGGCCGCAGCUGGUGUUGGAGGGAGAGACAUUAUACAUGUAGUGAUUGGGUCAGUCACCAAUACUUAAAGCGAGAGACUUCCUGCACGUUGCAAUAUAACUUAGUCCCCUGUGUUGAACGUACAAACACACCCGACCUUUACAUUUUCUGUCAUUUCAACAGGUGCGCAACCUGGACUACCCUCGGGGCCGGUUUGGUGAGGUGGUAGACGAGGAGUGCCGGCGUUCGCGAGCGCGCGCUGGGUAGGGGCGACGAUCCCGAAGCCGACGGGGGUUGAGACCACUCCACUCGAGAGGAGAAGGGAGAGGAGAGGGGAAGAAAGAAUAGAAGGGCGGGGUGAGUUAAAGAAGCUAAGCCACGUCGUCGGUGGGAGGAGGUACCUGCUCCUGCUGGUGGUGCCGGCGUGUACCAGCUCGAGUGGCAGCAAAGGAGGCCACGCCACUACCCGGUUGCUCGAGGCGGAGGUGCCGAGGAUCGAGCCGAAGACAAGAGGUACCUGCUUAGAGUUGACCUUUGUCGUUCGGUAGAGUUCCCUCCCCUAACAGUUCAGUGGGGUGAAGGUUAGGUACCUACGAUAGGUGUUCCUGGUUCUACUACUGCUGGUCCUACCUUCCUCGGGUGCGGGCUGGGGCUGCUGCCGCCAAAGUAAACACACGGCCGCAGCUGGUGUUGGAGGGAGAGACAUUAUACAUGUAGUGAUUGGGUCAGUCACCAAUACUUAAAACGAGAGACUUCCUGCACGUUACAAUAUAACUUAGUCCCCUGUGUUCAUUUACGUUACAAUCCGGUUUCUUCUCUUGACGGGUCCUAUGAACAUAAUGUGUCUUAGUUCUAAUAUCGAAGACGGGCACACAAAUAAAGUAUGGUGUAAGUUUCAAUUUACAUGGACGCUGCGGAGAAAACCCUGACGAGCACUGCUGGUAAGACACAAUAGGACUGUACCGAACGAUACGACAACGCAGGCACGUUGAGAGACAUCUUUUCUGUCAUUUCAACAGGUGCGCAACCUGGGCUACCCUCGGGGCCGGUUUGGUGAGGUGGCGUCAAGUUAUGGACAGCGUCUACUAGGUCUGUGACAGCAAAGGUUUCUCUUGAGGGUUACGCCAGCACUUCUUCGACAGUACGGGACGUGGCGACGGCCUAGUCCCUACCUCGCUUGAUUUUAGGUCUUUAUUCUCUCCUCACCUACGUCCUCCGAGGAGUCGCUAAUCUCGAAGAGCCGGCAGGCUAGUAAAAGAACUAACGCAAGACCGGCAACCUAGAGCCCGAGCCAGCAGCACCCGGCAGCCUAUAAAUGGGCCAGCAGAGGUUGGCAGGCUAUAAAAGGGAUACUCGGCACAGGGCGGGCCGGCACGGUGGCGCGUAGACGAGGAGUGCCGGCGUUCGCGAGCGCGCGCUGGGUAGGGGCGACGAUCCCGAAGCCGACGGGGGUUGAGACCACUCCACUCGAGAGGAGAAGGGAGAGGAGAGGGGAAGAAAGAAUAGAAGGGCGGGGUGAGUUAAAGAAGCUAAGCCACGUCGUCGGUGGGAGGAGGUACCUGCUCCUGCUGGUGGUGCCGGCGUGUACCAGCUCGAGUGGCAGCAAAGGAGGCCACGCCACUACCCGGUUGCUCGAGGCGGAGGUGCCGAGGAUCGAGCCGAAGACAAGAGGUACCUGCUUAGAGUUGACCUUUGUCGUUCGGUAGAGUUCCCUCCCCUAACAGUUCAGUGGGGUGAAGGUUAGGUACCUACGAUAGGUGUUCCUGGUUCUACUACUGCUGGUCCUACCUUCCUCGGGUGCGGGCUGGGGCUGCUGCCGCCAAAGUAAACACACGGCCGCAGCUGGUGUUGGAGGGAGAGACAUUAUACAUGUAGUGAUUGGGUCAGUCACCAAUACUUAAAGCGAGAGACUUCCUGCACGUUGCAAUAUAACUUAGUCCCCUGUGUUCAUUUACGUUACAAUCCGGUUUCUUCUCUUGACGGGUCCUACGAACAUAAUGUGUCUUAGUUCUAAUAUCGAAGACGGGCACACAAAUAAAGUGUGGUGUAAGUUUCAAUUUACAUGGACGCUGCGGAGAAAACCCUGACGAGCACUGCUGGUAAGACACAAUAGGACUGUACCGAACGAUACGACAACGCAGGCACGUUGAGAGACAUCUUUUCUGUCAUUUCAACAGGUGCGCAACCUGGGCUACCCUCGGGGCUGGUUUGGUGAGGUGGCGUCAAGUUAUGGAUAGCGUCUACUAGGUCUGCGACAACAAAGGUUUCUCUUGAGGGUUACGCCAGCACUUCUUCGACAGUACGGGACGUGGCGACGGCCUAGUCCCUACCUCGCUUGAUUUUAGGUCUUUAUUCUCUCCUCACCUACGUCCUCCGAGGAGUCGCUAAUCUCGAAGAGCCGGCAGGCUAGCAAAAGAACUAACGCAAGACCGGCAACCUAGAGCCCGAGCCAGCAGCACCCGGCAGCCUAUAAAUGGGCCAGUAGAGGUUGGCAGGCUGUAAAAGGGAUACUCGGCACAGGGCGGUCCGGCACGGUGGCGCGUAGACGAGGAGUGCCGGCGUUCGCGAGCGCGCGCUGGGUAGGGGCGACGAUCCCGAAGCCGACGGGGGUUGAGACCACUCCACUCGAGAGGAGAAGGGAGAGGAGAGGGGAAGAAAGAAUAGAAGGGCGGGGUGAGUUAAAGAAGCUAAGCCACGUCGUCGGUGGGAGGAGGUACCUGCUCCUGCUGGUGGUGCCGGCGUGUACCAGCUCGAGUGGCAGCAAAGGAGGCCACGCCACUACCCGGUUGCUCGAGGCGGAGGUGCCGAGGAUCGAGCCGAAGACAAGAGGUACCUGCUUAGAGUUGACCUUUGUCGUUCGGUAGAGUUCCCUCCCCUAACAGUUCAGUGGGGUGAAGGUUAGGUACCUACGAUAGGUGUUCCUGGUUCUACUACUGCUGGUCCUACCUUCCUCGGGUGCGGGCUGGGGCUGCUGCCGCCAAAGUAAACACACGGCCGCAGCUGGUGUUGGAGGGAGAGACAUUAUACAUGUAGUGAUUGGGUCAGUCACCAAUACUUAAAACGAGAGACUUCCUGCACGUUACAAUAUAACUUAGUCCCCUGUGUUCAUUUACGUUACAAUCCGGUUUCUUCUCUUGACGGGUCCUACGAACAUAAUGUGUCUUAGUUCUAAUAUCGAAGACGGGCACACAAAUAAAGUAUGGUGUAAGUUUCAAUUUACAUGGACGCUGCGGAGAAAACCCUGACGAGCACUGCUGGUAAGACACAAUAGGACUGUACCGAACGAUACGACAACGCAGGCACGUUGAGAGACAUCUUUUCUGUCAUUUCAACAGGUGCGCAACCUGGGCUACCCUCGGGGCCGGUUUGGUGAGGUGGCGUCAAGUUAUGGACAGCGUCUACUAGGUCUGCGACAGCAAAGGUUUCUCUUGAGGGUUACGCCAGCACUUCUUCGACAGUACGGGACGUGGCGACGGCCUAGUCCCUACCUCGCUUGAUUUUAGGUCUUUAUUCUCUCCUCACCUACGUCCUCCGAGGAGUCGCUAAUCUCGAAGAGCCGGCAGGCUAGCAAAAGAACUAACGCAAGACCGGCAACCUAGAGCCCGAGCCAGCAGCACCCGGCAGCCUAUAAAUGGGCCAGCAGAGGUUGGAAGGCUAUAAAAGGGAUACUCGGCACAGGGCGGGCCGGCACGGUGGCGCGUAGACGAGGAGUGCCGGCGUUCGCGAGCGCGCGCUGGGUAGGGGCGACGAUCCCGAAGCCGACGGGGGUUGAGACCACUCCACUCGAGAGGAGAAGGGAGAGGAGAGGGGAAGAAAGAAUAGAAGGGCGGGGUGAGUUAAAGAAGCUAAGCCACGUCGUCGGUGGGAGGAGGUACCUGCUCCUGCUGGUGGUGCCGGCGUGUACCAGCUCGAGUGGCAGCAAAGGAGGCCACGCCACUACCCGGUUGCUCGAGGCGGAGGUGCCGAGGAUCGAGCCGAAGACAAGAGGUACCUGCUUAGAGUUGACCUUUGUCGUUCGGUAGAGUUCCCUCCCCUAACAGUUCAGUGGGGUGAAGGUUAGGUACCUACGAUAGGUGUUCCUGGUUCUACUACUGCUGGUCCUACCUUCCUCGGGUGCGGGCUGGGGCUGCUGCCGCCAAAGUAAACACACGGCCGCAGCUGGUGUUGGAGGGAGAGACAUUAUACAUGUAGUGAUUGGGUCAGUCACCAAUACUUAAAACGAGAGACUUCCUGCACGUUACAAUAUAACUUAGUCCCCUGUGUUCAUUUACGUUACAAUCCGGUUUCUUCUCUUGACGGGUCCUACGAACAUAAUGUGUCUUAGUUCUAAUAUCGAAGACGGGCACACAAAUAAAGUGUGGUGUAAGUUUCAAUUUACAUGGACGCUGCGGAGAAAACCCUGACGAGCACUGCUGGUAAGACACAAUAGGACUGUACCGAACGAUACGACAACGCAGGCACGUUGAGAGACAUCUUUUCUGUCAUUUCAACAGGUGCGCAACCUGGGCUACCCUCGGGGCUGGUUUGGUGAGGUGGCGUCAAGUUAUGGACAGCGUCUACUAGGUCUGCGACAACAAAGGUUUCUCUUGAGGGUUACGCCAGCACUUCUUCGACAGUACGGGACGUGGCGACGGCCUAGUUCCUACCUCGCUUGAUUUUGUGAAGCGACAAUGUUGAUCGAGAGGGACAAGGUACUUAGCUGUCUCUCCUCACACAUCACAACAACCAGUUCGAUACAUAUAGACGAGGAGGAAACCUAACCAACCCAGACGUGGACAACGACAAAACCUAACCGACCCAGACGUCGACGACGAGGAAACCUAACUGGAGAUAAACCAAAUACGUAAGGUAAAAAGAUCUAUAGUCCCGAGUCCGUUGUGAAAUCGGAUACUUGGCUCUACACGGCGGCGGGUCAGCAGCACAUGUGUGACGCGUCGGAGGCGGUGGGCUAGCUAGCCGGAUGUAGAUCGUUUCCACUCCGGAGAGGAGGAAAAGCACGUAAAAGUACCCGAUGCACCACGAUUAACACCACACGACGUCGUCAACUCUGGCCCAUCCUGCUCCUCCUUCGUAUCUCCCUCUGACGCCCUGCUUCUCCUCUAGAGCCAGUCGUACGUUGGAUGUGUGGUUGUGGUAGGGUCGAGCACACGGCUGAGCUCCAACCUCUAGAAGAGGAGAGGGGAGGAGGACGUGCAUGGAAAAGAACCCCGACGGUAGCACAGACAAGACCAGACACGUUGUUCGACCCAGACACGACCCACACGGGUCAAAAGUUACGUAACGCUACGGACAAGUCGGUCAAAACAUCGGCGGUUCCCUUCAUGUUUCUACCGCAGCUCCGAACCCGCACACCGGCAGCUGCACCUCGUCCGUCUCCUCCUCGCUGAUGAUGGGGUUGCCGUCGGAGAGGAGGGAACAGGUGCCAUGAAAAUGGACAGUACCUUAAACUUAUAUUAAAACAAACAACCACGAGGACCCAUAUAAAUGUACUUAGACUUCCACCACUACUAAGUCGACUGGUCAUCCAAAAAGAAGACACAAGUCUCUUCUUUCUUCGACCAACGACGAUUAUAAUGAUAGGAGAAUCCUGUACGUUUCGUGUUGUUGGUUGUCGUCUGCUGUGGAGGUUUCGAUCUGUACCGUUCCAAAGCACUCCGCGCACAGUCUCCCAACCUUCUCCUUCGCCGCGUCCGUGGCACCUACUGCAACGUCAACCACCUACCACCGUAGUAUGACCGCACGCCGUGCCCGCACCUACUCGAGACGGCGGCAGGACAUUACACCCACAACCGGGUCAAGUACUCUUCUACGGGUCUAACAAGACGUCUCGUCGUCGGGUUAGUACACCCGGACGAUCGACCGUACUUCAAUCCGUCGGCCUUCGGCUCGACACCACGCCUUCCUCGACCCUCUAGAUCAGGCGGGUAAUCACUUUGCUUGCCGAAUUCUGUAGAUUAGUGACACGUGGUCAUGUCCUACAACGACACCCUCUUUGUGAACCCGCCCGACCGACUCCACGACUUCCGCGGUCUCAGUAACUUCACGUACUCCGACCACUUGGUCCACCGCGCCCUCUUGACCCUCUCCAUGUGGCUGCUCCCCUUCCACCAUCUCCUCUACGUCCCCGGUGGACUACUCCAUAGGCCACCUGCACCUGCUGCUGCCGUUGCACACCAGCGACUGCUCCGAGCUCAAGUAGGGGCUGCAGCCGCCGUCCCAGGAUCUGAGGUGGUUGUUCAAAGGGCUAGUAGAGUGGUACAUCGGAAGGAUGACUGGGAAACU
rnacentral:rRNA from 1 species